UGCGGUCGGGGGAAUCGGUGUUGGUGCACGCCGCUGCGGGCGGGGUGGGAAUGGCGGCGGUGCAGCUCGCUCGGUUGUGG
rnacentral:tRNA from 1 species